UACGUAGGGUGCAAGCGUUAAUCGGAAUUACUGGGCGUAAAGCGUGCGCAGGCGGUUUUGUAAGUCUGACGUGAAAUCCCCGGGCUUAACCUGGGAAUUGCGUUGGAGACUGCAAGGCUGGAGUGUGGCAGAGGGGGGGUGGAAUUCCGCGUGUAGCAGUGAAAUGCGUAGAGAUGCGGAGGAACACCGAUGGCGAAGGCAGCCCCCCUGGGCUAACACUGACGCUCAGGCACGAAAGCGUGGGGAGCAAACAGG
rnacentral:rRNA from 1 species